GUCAGUUUGUAUGUAUGUCUGCGAACUGUGUGCAUGUAUGCAGCGGACUGUGUGUAUGUAUUUAGUGGACUGUGUGUAUUCAGCAGUCUGUCUGUGUGUGUGUCGGUGUGUAUGUAUUCAGCAGUCUGUGUGUGAAUGUGUUCAGCAGUCUGUGUGUAUGUAUUUUAUGUAUGUAUUGCAUUUGUUGGAGAUACUAACAAAUAUAAGCCUAAUUUUAUCUAUAAUUUAAAUUUUUAUUCCUGUGAGUUGUGUGUAGGCAGGGCCCCAGUGCACUGGUUUGCCCGGGUGCCCAUAAUGUUGUUAAGAUGGCACUGGUGGGUAGGAUAGAAAGCUGUGAGGGAGCACUGACUGAUGUGGUGUUCCAGCACUGCUCCCUCUGCUGAUGCUGCCGGGUGACAGGAAAUGACAUCAAUCAGGUGCCGCCGCCUGAUUGACGUAAUUUCCUGUUUCCCGGCGGCAUUAGCGGACGGAGCAGUGCUGGAAUAGCACGUAAGUCAGUGCUCCCUCGCGCCCACACCCCCUCACAGCAGCGGGAAGGAAUCGGAUCCACCAGGUAGGGAGCCUGGUAGACUUUAAACCCCCACCGGCAUCAAAAAAAAUGUAAACAGUAUUUAUGUGCUGGGAG